rnacentral:lncRNA from 1 species
GUUAGGGUUGGAGUUAGGGUUAGUGUUGGAGCUAGGGUUAGGGUUGGGCUUGGAGCUAGGAUUUUUCUGAGUGCCAUGAACCAACUCCCGAGUCUCUAGGACGUUCCUAAAAAAAUUGAUUUUUUCCCAUAGGAAUGCAUGGGUUAGGGUUAGGGUUAGGGUUGGAGCUAGGGUUAGGGUUAGGGUUAGGGUUGGAGUUAGGGUUAGUGUUGGAGCUAGGGUUAGGGUUGGGCUUGGAGCUAGGAUUUUUCUGAGUGCAAUGAACCAACUCCCGAGUCUCUAGGACGUUCCUAAAAAAAAUUGAUUUUUUUCCCAUAGGAAUGCAUGGGUUAGGGUUAGGGUUAGGGUUGGAGCUAGGGUUAGGGUUAGGGUUAGGGUUGGAGUUAGGGUUAGUGUUGGAGCUAGGGUUAGGGUUGGGCUUGGAGCUAGGAUUUUUCUGAGUGCCAUGAACCAACUCCCGAGUCUCUAGGACGUUCCUAAAAAAAAUUGAUUUUUUCCCAUAGGAAUGCAUGGGUUAGGGUUAGGGUUAGGGUUGGAGCUAGGGUUAGGGUUAGGGUUAGGGUUGGAGUUAGGGUUAGUGUUGGAGCUAGGGUUAGGGUUGGGCUUGGAGCUAGGAUUUUUCUGAGUGCAAUGAACCAACUCCCGAGUCUUUAGGACGUUCCAAAAAGAAUUUGAUUUUUUCCCUUUGGAAUGCAUGGGUUAGGGUUAGGGUUAGGGUUGGAGCUAGGGUUAGGGUUAGGGUUAGGGUUGGAGUUAGGGUUAGUGUUGGAGCUAGGUUUAGGGUUGGGCUUGGAGCUAGGAUUUUUCUGAGUGCCAUGAACCAACUCCCGAGUCUCUAGGACGUUCCUAAAAAAAAUUGAUUUUUUCCCAUAGGAAUGCAUGGGUUAGGGAUAGGGUUAGGGUUGGAGCUAGGGUUAGGGUUAGGGUUAGGGUUGGAGUUAGGGUUAGUGUUGGAGCUAGGGUUAGGGUUGGGCUUGAAGCUAGGAUUUUUCUGAGUGCAAUGAACCAACUCCCGAGUCUCUAGGACGUUCCUAAAAAAAUUUGAUUUUUUCCCAUAGGAAUGCAUGGGUUAGGGUUAGGGUUAGGGUUGGAGCUAGGGUUAGGGUUAGGGUUAGGGUUGGAGUUAGGGUUAGUGUUGGAGCUAGGGUUAGGGUUGGGCUUGGAGCUAGGAUUUUUCUGAGUGCAAUGAACCAACUCCCGAGUCUCUAGGACGUUCCUAAAAGAAUUUGAUUUUUUCCCUUAGGAAUGCAUGGGUUAGGGUUAGGGUUAGGGUUGGAGCUAGGGUUAGGGUUAGGGUUAGGGUUAGUGUUGGAGCUAGGGUUAGGGUUGGGCUUGGAGCUAGGAUUUUUCUGAGUGCAAUGAACCAACUCCCGAGUCUCUAGGACGUUCCUAAAAAAAUUUGAUUUUUUCCCAUAGGAAUGCAUGGGUUAGGGUUAGGGUUAGGGUUGGAGCUAGGGUUAGGGUUAGGGUUAGGGUUGGAGUUAGGGUUAGUGUUGGAGCUAGGGUUAGGGUUGGGCUUGGAGCUAGGAUUUUUCUGAGUGCAAUGAACUAACUCCCGAGUCUCUAGGACGUUCCUAAAAAAAUUUGAUUUUCUCCCAUAGGAAUGCAUGGGUUAGGGUUAGGGUUAGGGUUGGAGCUAGGGUUAGGGUUGGAGUUAGGGUUAGUGUUGGAGCUAGGGUUAGGGUUGGGCUUGGGGCUAGGAUUUUUCUGAGUGCAAUGAACCAACUCCCGAGUCUCUAGGACGUUCCUAAAAAAAUUUGAUUUUUUCCCAUAGGAAUGCAUGGGUUAGGGUUAGGGAUAGGGUUGGAGCUAGGGUUAGGGUUAGGGUUAGGGUUGGAGUUAGGGUUAGUGUUGGAGCUAGGGUUAGGGUUGGGCUUGGAGCUAGGAUUUUUCUGAGUGCAAUGAACCAACUCCCGAGUCUCUAGGACGUUCCUAAAAGAAUUUGAUUUUUUCCCUUAGGAAUGCAUGGGUUAGGGUUAGGGUUAGGGUUGGAGCUAGGGUUAGGGUUAGGGUUAGGGUUAGUGUUGGAGCUAGGGUUAGGGUUGGGCUUGGAGCUAGGAUUUUUCUGAGUGCAAUGAACCAACUCCCGAGUCUCUAGGACGUUCCUAAAAAAAUUUGAUUUUUUCCCAUAGGAAUGCAUGGGUUAGGGUUAGGGUUAGGGUUGGAGCUAGGGUUAGGGUUAGGGUUAGGGUUGGAGUUAGGGUUAGUGUUGGAGCUAGGGUUAGGGUUGGGCUUGGAGCUAGGAUUUUUCUGAGUGCAAUGAACUAACUCCCGAGUCUCUAGGACGUUCCUAAAAAAAUUUGAUUUUUUCCCAUAGGAAUGCAUGGGUUAGGAUUAGGGUUAGGGUUGGAGCUAGGGUUAGGGUUGGAGUUAGGGUUAGUGUUGGAGCUAGGGUUAGGGUUGGGCUUGGGGCUAGGAUUUUUCUGAGUGCAAUGAACCAACUCCCGAGUCUCUAGGACGUUCCUAAAAAAAUUUGAUUUUUUCCCAUAGGAAUGCAUGGGUUAGGGUUAGGGAUAGGGUUGGAGCUAGGGUUAGGGUUAGGGUUAGGGUUGGAGUAAGGGUUAGUGUUGGAGCUAGGAUCAGGGUUGGGCUUGGAGCUAGGAUUUUUCUGAGUGCAAUGAACCAACUCCCAAGUCUCUAGGACGUUCCUAAAAAAAAUUGAUUUUUUCCCAUAGGAAUGCAUGGGUUAGGGUUAGGGUUAGGGUUGGAGCUAGGGUUAGGGUUAGGGUUAGGGUUGGAGUUAGGGUUAGUGUUGGAGCUAGGGUUAGGGUUGGGCUUGGAGCUAGGAUUUUUCUGAGUGCCAUGAACCAACUCCCGAGUCUCUAGGACGUUCCUAAAAAAAAUUGAUUUUUUCCCAUAGGAAUGCAUGGGUUAGGGUUAGGGUUAGGGUUAGGGUUGGAGCUAGGGUCAGGGUUAGGGUUAGGGUUGGAGUUAGGGUUAGUGUUGGAGCUAGGGUUAGGGUUGGGCUUGGAGCUAGGAUUUUUCUGAGUGCAAUGAACCAACUCCCGAGUCUCUAGGACGUUCCUAAAAAAAUUUGAUUUUUCCCCAUAGGAAUGCAUGGGUUAGGGUUAGGGUUAGGGUUGGAGCUAGGGUUAGGGUUAGGGUUAGGGUUGGAGUUAGGGUUAGUGUUGGAGCUAGGUUUAGGGUUGGGCUUGGAGCUAGGAUUUUUCUGAGUGCCAUGAACCAACUCCCGAGUCUCUAGGACGUUCCUAAAAAAUUUGAUUUUUUCCCAUAGGAAUGCAUGGGUUAGGGUUAGGGUUAGGGUUGGAGCUAGGGUUAGGGUUAGGGUUAGGGUUGGAGUUAGGGUUAGUGUUGGAGCUAGGGUUAGGGUUGGGCUUGGAGCUAGGAUUUUUCUGAGUGCAAUGAACCAACUCCCGAGUCUCUAGGACGUUCCUAAAAAAUUUGAUUUUUUCCCAUAGGAAUGCAUGGGUUAGGGUUAGGGUUAGGGUUGGAGCUAGGGUUAGGGUUAGGGUUAGGGUUGGAGUUAGGGUUAGUGUUGGAGCUAGGGUUAGGGUUGGGCUUGGAGCUAGGAUUUUUCUGAGUGCAUGAACCAACUCCCGAGUCUCUAGGACGUUCCUAAAAAAUUGAGAGGGAUUUUUUCCCAUAGGAAUGCAUGGGUUAGGGUUAGGGUUAGGGUUGGAGCUAGGGUUAGGGUUAGGGUUAGGGUUGGAGUUAGGGUUAGUGUUGGAGCUAGGGUUAGGGUUGGGCUUGGAGCUAGGAUUUUUCUGAGUGCAAUGAACCAACUCCCGAGUCUCUAGGACGUUCCUAAAAAAUUUGAUUUUUUCCCAUAGGAAUGCAUGGGUUAGGGUUAGGGUUAGGGUUGGAGCUAGGGUUAGGGUUGGAGUUAGGGUUAGUGUUGGAGCUAGGGUUAGGGUUGGGCUUGGAGCUAGGAUUUUUCUGAGUGCAAUGAACCAACUCCCGAGUCUCUAGGACGUUCCUAAAAAAAUUUGAUUUUUUCCCAUAGGAAUGCAUGGGUUAGGGUUAGGGUUAGGGUUGGAGCUAGGGUUAGGGUUAGGGUUAGGGUUGGAGUUAGGGUUAGUGUUGGAGCUAGGGUUAGGGUUGGGCUUGGAGCUAGGAUUUUUCUGAGUGCAAUGAACCAACUCCCGAGUCUCUAGGACGUUCCUAAAAAAAUUGAUUUUUUCCCAUAGGAAUGCAUGGGUUAGGGUUAGGGUUAGGGUUGGAGCUAGGGUUAGGGUUAGGGUUAGGGUUGGAGUUAGGGUUAGUGUUGGAGCUAGGGUUAGGGUUGGGCUUGGAGCUAGGAUUUUUCUGAGUGCCAUGAACCAACUCCCGAGUCUCUAGGACGUUCCUAAAAAAAAUUGAUUUUUUCCCAUAGGAAUGCAUGGGUUAGGGUUAGGGUUAGGGUUGGAGCUAGGGUUAGGGUUAGGGUUAGGGUUGGAGUUAGGGUUAGUGUUGGAGCUAGGGUUAGGGUUGGGCUUGGAGCUAGGAUUUUUCUGAGUGCCAAUGAACCAACUCCCGAGUCUUUAGGACGUUCCUAAAAGAAUUUGAUUUUUUCCCUUUGGAAUGCAUGGGUUAGGGUUAGGGUUAGGGUUGGAGCUAGGGUUAGGGUUAGGGUUAGGGUUGGAGUUAGGGUUAGUGUUGGAGCUAGGUUUAGGGUUGGGCUUGGAGCUAGGAUUUUUCUGAGUGCCAUGAACCAACUCCCGAGUCUCUAGGACGUUCCUAAAAAAAAUUGAUUUUUUCCCAUAGGAAUGCAUGGGUUAGGGUUAGGGUUAGGGUUGGAGCUAGGGUUAGGGUUAGGGUUAGGGUUGGAGUUAGGGUUAGUGUUGGAGCUAGGGUUAGGGUUGGGCUUGGAGCUAGGAUUUUUCUGAGUGCAAUGAACCAACUCCCGAGUCUUUAGGACGUUCCAAAAAGAAUUUGAUUUUUUCCCUUUGGAAUGCAUGGGUUAGGGUUAGGGUUAGGGUUGGAGCUAGGGUUAGGGUUAGGGUUAGGGUUGGAGUUAGGGUUAGUGUUGGAGCUAGGGUUAGGGUUGGGCUUGGAGCUAGGAUUUUUCUGAGUGCCAUGAACCAACUCCCGAGUCUCUAGGACGUUCCUAAAAAAAUUGAUUUUUUCCCAUAGGAAUGCAUGGGUUAGGGUUAGGGUUAGGGUUGGAGCUAGGGUUAGGGUUAGGGUUAGGGUUGGAGUUAGGGUUAGUGUUGGAGCUAGGGUUAGGGUUGGGCUUGAAGCUAGGAUUUUUCUGAGUGCAAUGAACCAACUCCCGAGUCUCUAGGACGUUCCUAAAAAAAUUUGAUUUUUUCCCAUAGGAAUGCAUGGGUUAGGGUUAGGGUUAGGGUUGGAGCUAGGGUUAGGGUUGGAGUUAGGGUUAGUGUUGGAGCUAGGGUUAGGGUUGGGCUUGGAGCUAGGAUUUUUCUGAGUGCCAUGAACCAACUCCCGAGUCUCUAGGACGUUCCUAAAAAAAAUUGAUUUUUUCCCAUAGGAAUGCAUGGGUUAGGGUUAGGGUUAGGGUUGGAGCUAGGGUUAGGGUUAGGGUUAGGGUUGGAGUUAGGGUUAGUGUUGGAGCUAGGGUUAGGGUUGGGCUUGGAGCUAGGAUUUUUCUGAGUGCAAUGAACCAACUCCCGAGUCUCUAGGACGUUCCUAAAAAAAAUAGAUUUUUUUCCCAUAGGAAUGCAUGGGUUAGGGUUAGGGUUAGGGUUGGAGCUAGGGUUAGGGUUAGGGUUAGGGUUGGAGCUAGGAUUUUUCUGAGUGCCAUGAACCAACUCCCGAGUCUCUAGGACGUUCCUAAAAAAAAUUGAUUUUUUCCCAUAGGAAUGCAUGGGUUAGGGUUAGGGUUAGGGUUGGAGCUAGGGUUAGGGUUAGGGUUAGGGUUGGAGUUAGGGUUAGUGUUGGAGCUAGGGUUAGGGUUGGGCUUGGAGCUAGGAUUUUUCUGAGUGCAAUGAACCAACUCCCGAGUCUCUAGGACGUUCCUAAAAAAAUUUGAUUUUUUCCCAUAGGAAUGCAUGGGUUAGGGUUAGGGUUAGGGUUGGAGCUAGGGUUAGGGUUAGGGUUAGGGUUGGAGUUAGGGUUAGUGUUGGAGCUAGGGUUAGGGUUGGGCUUGGAGCUAGGAUUUUUCUGAGUGCCAUGAACCAACUCCCGAGUCUCUAGGACGUUCCUAAAAAAAUUUGAUUUUUUCCCAUAGGAAUGCAUGGGUUAGGGUUAGGGUUAGGGUUGGAGCUAGGGUUAGGGUUAGGGUUAGGGUUGGAGUUAGGGUUAGUGUUGGAGCUAGGGUUAGGGUUGGGCUUGGAGCUAGGAUUUUUCUGAGUGCAAUGAACCAACUCCCGAGUCUCUAGGACGUUCCUAAAAAAAUUUGAUUUUUUCCCAUAGGAAUGCAUGGGUUAGGGUUAGGGUUAGGGUUGGAGCUAGGGUUAGGGUUAGGGUUAGGGUUGGAGUUAGGGUUAGUGUUGGAGCUAGGGUUAGGGUUGGGCUUGGAGCUAGGAUUUUUCUGAGUGCAAUGAACCAACUCCCGAGUCUCUAGGACGUUCCUAAAAAAAUUGAUUUUUUCCCAUAGGAAUGCAUGGGUUAGGGUUAGGGUUAGGGUUGGAGCUAGGGUUAGGGUUAGGGUUGGAGUUAGGGUUAGUGUUGGAGCUAGGGUUAGGGUUGGGCUUGGAGCUAGGAUUUUUCUGAGUGCAAUGAACCAACUCC